rnacentral:rRNA from 1 species
UACAGAGGGUGCGAGCGUUAAUCGGAGUGACUGGGCGUAAAGGGCACGUAGGCGGCGCUGUUAGUCUGAUGUGAAAGACCUGGGCUUAACCUGGGAUGUGCAUUGGAAACGGCAACGCUAGAGUUUGGGAGAGGGAAGUGGAAUUUCCGGUGUAGCGGUGAAAUGCGUAGAGAUCGGAAAGAACACUCGUGGCGAAGGCGACUUUCUGGCCCAAAACUGACGCUGAGGUGCGAAAGCGUGGGGAGCAAACAGG